GUGGGGAAUAUUGGACAAUGGGCGAAAGCCUGAUCCAGCCAUGCCGCGUGUGUGAAGAAGGUCUUCGAAUUGUAAAGCACUUUAAGUUGGGAGGAAGGGCAGUAAGUUAAUACCUUGCUGUUUUGACGUUACCGACAGAAUAAGCACCGGCUAACUUCGUGCCAGCAGCCGCGGUAAUACGAAGGGUGCAAGCGUUAAUCGGAAUUACUGGGCGUAAAGCGCGCGUAGGUGGUUCAGCAAGUUGGAGGUGAAAUCCCCGGGCUCAACCUGGGAACUGCCUCCAAAACUACUGGGCUAGAGUACGGUAGAGGGUAGUGGAAUUUCCUGUGUAGCGGUGAAAUGCGUAGAUAUAGGAAGGAACACCAGUGGCGAAGGCGACUACCUGGACUGAUACUGACACUGAGGUGCGAAAGCGUGGGGAGCAAACAGGAUUAGAAACCCCUGUAGUCC
rnacentral:rRNA from 1 species